UACGAAGGGGGCUAGCGUUGCUCGGAAUCACUGGGCGUAAAGCGCACGUAGGCGGCUUUCUAAGUCAGGGGUGAAAUCCUGGAGCUCAACUCCAGAACUGCCUUUGAUACUGGAGAGCUUGAGUCCGGAAGAGGUGAGUGGAACUCCGAGUGUAGAGGUGAAAUUCGUAGAUAUUCGGAAGAACACCAGUGGCGAAGGCGGCUCACUGGUCCGGUACUGACGCUGAGGAGCGAAAGCAUGGGGAGCGAACAGG
rnacentral:rRNA from 1 species